UUCUACAGCCAAAUCACCCUCCAGCUCAAGAGCGGUAACUCACUGAAGAUAAGCAGGUCUGAGUCUGAUUAGUAUCUGCAUGGGAGACCACAUGGGAAAACUAGGUUGCUGUUUGAA
ensembl:rRNA 5S_rRNA 5S ribosomal RNA